UUUUUUUUUUUUUUUGCUUUUUGCUAAUAUCAAGUAACUAACUAAAUAGUCCUGUUGUCUUUAGCAAGACAGCUUAAGGAGAACAUUCCUUUGAUGCCAGAAGGGCAAAACCAGGCCCUUCGUUCUUUAAACAACGAUUCAAAGUCACGUUGCCCUUAUUGUUGGCCUUCAGUACUAAAGAUUUUUGUCAUGCUUGGCUUCACUUUGACUUCAUGGCUAAGGUUUCAGCUAGUGAUGCUAUCAGACAAUAGCAGAACGCAAUUCAAAACAGCUACUGGAAAAAUCCCUACACUCUUCCAAAGCUACUAGGUUAGGGUAAAAGAAGAGCUGUGACACCACCUACUGUGAAGCAAACACAUGCAUUGAAGUCUAAAGCACAUAUCUGAUUUGCUCAUUAUUCUUUGGUGUUUUGUUGUUUCAAAUGUAAGUUGGAAAUGAUUUGGUAACAAGGCUUGAAAACAGAUAGAGCUUUGGCAUAUUUUGAAAAUUUGCUACAGUUUUAUUUUAUUUUAUUUUAUUUUAUUUUAUUUUAUUUUAUUUUAUUUUAUUUUAUUUAUGUUUUUCAACCACAGCAUUCCUCUGGAAUUAGCGACUGCAUUGUCCCAUGAAGCUCACCAGAAAUGACAAGCAUAUGCUGUUCUAGUCAAUACAUCAUAUUUAAUAAUUUUUAUAGGAAACUCAAGUAUUCUUUUUAGCAUAUACUUCUUCUACUAUGCUAUAUUGAGGUAAACUGUGGUAUUAGUAACUAUGGAGAGAGAAGAGAGUAACUGGUAAUAGGAGGGAUAUAUAUCACAUCUUUGUGAGGUACUAAAUUGAACCCUAUCAGUCCAGAUUAAUAUAUUUUAUAGCUGAGAUCUGAAGUCUAAAAAUCACCUUUGUUUAAAUUGUAAAAUAUUAUUUUUGAAGUAUUUUCUAAUCUGUGUUAAUUUUAUAUCAAAAUUCAGAUGCAAGACAAUAUUCCAGUUACUCUGAACAUGUGUUUCAAAGGUAAAAGGCUACAUACCUCUCCCUAAUUGUAUCUCAACAAAUUCACGAUAGAAGUACUGAAUUGGACAUCUGCUAGUGUCCUCUUUAGCACAGAGGCCACUUUAAAAAGCUGUCUGCUGUGCUUUCAAAAAAACCCAUUGCUGUGUUCCAGCACUGAAGACAAUAGUGGAGGGCAAAGAUGUAACCUCUCUGGUCUAAAUGUUAUACACUCACAUUACAUCUCCUGCAGAUGAAAAACCUUCUUACAAUGAAGAAGAAAAUGAAUUUUGGAACAGUGUAUUUUUUGAAUUAUUGUUGCAGUCAGAAAUGAAGUGGCAGAACUGCCCAAUCUUAGUGUUAUUCAUUAGGCAGAUUCAUUAUGGUUGUAUCUAUCAGCCAACCCACAUCAGAUCCUCUUGUGCUAGACAUUAUAAAACCAAGAGCUGUUCUCAAAGUUGGACUAUGUAGAAAAUAAUUUUGUGCUGCUGAAAUGCGUUGCUUGGAGGGGUGCCUUGCUUCAUCACUUAUGGUGUAAUAUUAAUUUCACUCAAAACCUCAGAUUACAUGGCCAUGCUACACAGAAACAGAACAUCAGCCAGCAUGUGUUGUUUGUUUGUGACUGGGAAAAGCCAGAUUAGAUGAGACAAGUGGUCAGAGCUGCAAGGGAAGGGUAGAGUACGUUGACUGAGGGAAACAUGAGGAAUCAGUCCUUCUAAUAGAAAAGACUGGAAGAAUGCUAGGAGUACUAAACAAAUAUUGAAAAAGAUAUGUUCUUCCUUAAGGAAGCAGAACUUUGUCACUACUGCUCCAAACUCUACCCUUGACUUGGUUUUCUGGUGGAAAUAAUAUGUGAGACAAUGAAUAUUGGCUCCAAAGGUAUGUGAGGCACAUUUUUGUGCUUGGAUCAGAAGAGGUGAGAAGAUAUAAGUGGUUUUGCCCUUAAUGUUGCAGUGUGUUGGUCCUUCAUUAAAAAAUAAAAUUAAAUGUAUUUUUUCUUCCUUUCAGCCACCUAUCCAUCACCUCCACUGCAAAUCAGAUGCCAUGUUAGGGUAGGUACCACUUCUUUCCAAAUGCCUUGUUUAAUCUCCUCCUUCCCUUCUGUUCAGUUUCUCUUACAGUACAAUAAACCCUGGGCUUUGUCCAUCAGUCUGUGUGUAUAUAUUAGAUCCUCAACCUUAUUUGUGUCUGUGUUGACCUCUGGGGAGAAUAUAUCAGCACUUUUUCAUCUCACUACAGCAGCGAAAGUGAGUAAAACACAGUUGUUUUGUCUUUAAGCAAUGGAUUUGAUGAGGUGGUUAUCUUGGUAAUUAAAAAACCCCAACUUCCUCCACCCCAAGAACUCUGAAUGACUUCUCCAUUAAUCAUUACAAGAGCACCAUUGACUUACCGUGUUUGUAAGAGACAUGCCCCUAACAAAGUAGACACAAUUUUUUUUCUAACUCAAAGAACAUUUUAUUUGGUGGUCUAAUAGCUUUCACUUACAGAUAUCACAUUAAUAAACCGUGAGUGGAAAAAGGUAAUAAAUAUGUGCCUGCACAUCUUAAAUACAUGACUGAAUUUUAUAUGUUUACCAAUCUACCUUAAGUGUAAACCAGUAAUGUUCAGGGCUGUUGGCCCAGCAAGACUGGACUAACCUAGCCUUCUGAUUGAUCCAUCUGGGUGUUAAAGCCUGGUGAGAGUUCACCUCUGAUGGGUGACAUCCCCGAUGUCAGCCAAGCAGCAGUGCCCCUUAGUCCAUGGCAGUAGUGAGAUAUGACACUUACAUAACCCUCUUCCCCUGUAAAAGUGGCUUAGGAAAAGUUUUUCUUACAUUUCAAACUAUUUAUGAGGAACAUGGCCAAUUACCCUAGGUCAGUCAGAGGUAGAUCAUAAAGGCAAUGCAAAUCACUACGUAUCUGCUGUGAGCAGUGUCUUACUUCACCCACAUUUUGUGGAGCUGGGCUUUUGUAGGAAGGAUUUGUGCACUGUGGAUAUGAGUGAUUCCAAAAUUUUUGCCCUGCUUUGCUGCUGAGAUUUGCUUUAAUCCUUAGGUAAUUAUUCCAGUAAAAAUACCACGUCAUUGGUCCUUCAGCAUCCCUUACACCUUGUCCAACUUGCAUUGUGGGUUGUUGGGGACAGGUUUACCCUUGAUAAGACAUUUGUAACAGAAUGGCAUGGCAAGGCUCUGUCCCUGUCUGUGAUGGAAAUGCAAGCCUUGUAAACAGUAAUAACGCCUGAACCUCUGGGCUAAAAUCUGCAGACACCAGAAAAGUACCAAAUCAGAUCAUUAGGUUAGAUCUUAAUUGAGAAACAGAAAUGCAGCAAAAAAAAAAAAAAAAAAAAAAA
ensembl:lncRNA